UACGGAGGGUGCGAGCGUUAUUCGGAAUUACUGGGCGUAAAGCGCGUGCAGGCGGCUCGAGAAGUCUGAUGUGAAAGCCCCGGGCUUAACCCGGGAAGUGCAUUGGAAACUCUCGGGCUUGAGUGCUGGAGAGGAAGGGAGAAUUCCCGGUGUAGAGGUGAAAUUCGUAGAGAUCGGGAGGAACACCAGUGGCGAAGGCGCCCUUCUGGACAGCAACUGACGCUGAGACGCGAAAGCGUGGGGAGCAAACAGG
rnacentral:rRNA from 1 species